UACGUAGGGCGCGAGCGUUGUCCGGAAUCAUUGGGCGUAAAGAGCUCGUAGGCGGCCGGUUGCGUCUGCUGUGAAAUCCCGGGGCUUAACCCCGGGCGUGCAGUGGAUACGGGCUGGCUGGAGGCAGGCAGGGGAGAAUGGAAUUCCCGGUGUAGCGGUGAAAUGCGCAGAUAUCGGGAGGAACACCGGUGGCGAAAGCGGCGCACUGGACCACAACUGACGCUGAGGCGCGAAAGCUAGGGGAGCAAACAGG
rnacentral:rRNA from 1 species